rnacentral:sRNA from 1 species
UUAUCACUUAGAGGAAGGAGAAGUCGUAACAAGGUUUCCGUAGGUGAACCUGCGGAAGGAUCAUUUGCACAAUCCAAAACAAUGAACCAUGAACAAGUGUGUGGGCUGUGUUGCUGCACCUACUUAACGUGUUGUGGCAUUUGUCCAUGGGUGGCAUGGGUUUCAGUUGCAGGCCCAUGCUGCUUCAUUUGUUUGAAACAUCAUGAUUAUAUUACUUGUGUUUUAAUUGUUAAACAGUUGUCGUUUGAAAAAAUGUGUUUUAGCAAUGAAUGUCUUAGCUCAAUUGAUGAUGAAGAAUGCAGCAAAAAGUGAUUUGCAUUGUGAAUUGCAGAAAUCCGUGAAUCAACAGAUAUUUCAACAUUGCUUGUACCUUGGGGGUAAGCUUGAAGGUGUGUUUGGUUCAAUGUCAAUGCACUUCCAAUUAAUGUUAUGGUAAGCAUUUUUGGAAAUGCGCAUGUUAAUGCAAAUGCAUGUAACAUGCUUGCAUGCUAAAUGAUUCAUAUUCAACUGCAUAUGAGUUGUUCAUCCAAUGUCUGCACCAUACUAUGUGGUUGUAUGAAUGUUUGCUUUGAAAUUUGUGAUAAUGUACAUGAAAUGAAGCAUGUAAACCUGCUGAAUUUAAGCAUAUAAGUAAGCAGUGGAAAUUGAACCAAAAGGGAUUCCUUGAAUAAUUGCGAAUGAAUAAGGAUUUGCUCAUCUUGAGAAUUUAAGCCUUGGGCUUUGACCUGUACUUUUGAAAUGUAUUGCCAAUGGGGGCGCACGUGCCUGCCUGUUGAAAGACAGCGACAGUGAGGGUGAGAUUCCUUUUUGCCAUGUGCAGCCUUCCAUAAACGGUGUAUAUUUGAUGAGUCACACUCCUUGGCAUUGGAAUGCAAAGUGGGUGGUAAAUCCCUUUUGAAAUGUAUUGCCAAUGGGGGCGCACGUGCCUGCCUGUUGAAAGACAGCGACAGUGAGGGUGAGAUUCCUUUUUGCCAUGUGCAGCCUUCCAUAAACGGUGUAUAUUUGAUGAGUCACACUCCUUGGCAUUGGAAUGCAAAGUGGGUGGUAAAUUCCAUGUAAAGGGCAAUAUAUUAUUGAGACUGAUAGCAAACAAGUACCAUAAGGGAAAUAUGAAAAGGACUUUGAAAAGAGAAUUAAAAGAGUCUGCAUUUGCUGGAAUGAAAGCAAACAGAAUUGAUUCAACUUGGCAAGAUUGUUGUGCUUGCUUCAAUGUCUACUUGGAUCUUGGUGCAAUGGUUCUUGCCCUGGGUGCCAGCUCUUAUUCUGCUAAGCAUCAUCCUUGCACAUGAAUGGUACUAUGCCUGUGGGUGUUGGAUUGCAUGUGUUAGCGCUGUUUUUUGAUAUAUUGCAUGUGCAAUGUGAUUCUCUGUCUGUUGUUUGAUGCAUGAUGUUGUCAUAAUCAAACAGACAGACAUCCAAUUGUGCAUUGGCUGGGGAAAUAUUUCUGCUUGACCCGUCUUGAAACACGGACCAAGGAGUCUAACAGAUGUGCAAGUUCAUGGGUGGCUAAACCUGUGUGCGCAAUGAAUGUAUUGGCUGGAAUCCUUGCACCAGCGACCGACCAAUUGAUAGACAGAGGUUUGAGUUUGAGCAUAUCCAUUAGGACCCGAAAGAUGGUGAACUAUGCCUGAACAGAAUGAAUUCAGGGGAAACUCUGAUGGAGGUUCGUAUCGGUACUGACGUGCAAAUCGUUCGUCAUACUCGGGUAUAGGGGCGAAAGACUAAUCGAACCAUCUAGUAGCUGGUUUCCUCCGAAGUUUCCCUCAGGAUAGUUGGAGUUGCACAGUUUUAUCAGGUAAAGCGAAUGAUUGGAGGAAUUGGGGGCUUGUUGUCUUUGACCUAUUCUCAAACUUUAAAUGGGUAAGCUGCAAUGGUUGCUUUACAGAACUUUUGUAAUAAAUGGCAAUAUCAAGUGGGCCAUUUUUGGUAAGCAGAACUGGCGAUGAGGGAUGAACCUAACGUUGGGUUAAGGUGCUUAAUUGCUUGCUCAUUAGAUACCAGAAAGGGUGUUGGUUCAUUUAAACAGCAGGAC